AUGCAGGUGGUGCUGUCAGCGUUGCGUAGUUGUUGCCAUCUGCAAGGGCCUCCGGACGCAGCUACUACCACUUGGGGCGCACUUGCUAUUCCAGUGUCACACGCAUACCAAACUUAUCAACCGAACUACACCGAGCAGACUAUCGUUGGCAAUGCAGGAGCGUUCAUAACCAGAAGAAACAACAAUCUUGAAUCUGAUGUUAGCAACUCAAGAGCAGAUGACUCAAACUCGGAUGCGGAGACAGCUGGUGAUGAUGAGGAUGAAGAUGAAGAAGAUGAUGCAAAGGAGUACUACCAGAGUUAUGCAAAGUUCAAUGGUUUUGCAGUAUACACUGACCAUCGCAGAAAACUAGUAAAAAUAGGAGAGUACAAUCGAGCUGAGUUGAGGUGUUUCAAGUCAAGAAGGAAUAAGAAGAAGAAAAAACGAAAUGGUCCAGUCAUCGGACAGAGACGAAGAGACAUUGUGUUCAAAACGAAUUGCCCUGCCAAGAUGAAGCUGAACAUCGAAGGGCCCUGGUGGGUGGUAACAAAGUACGUGGGACAUCACAACCAUGAAAUGAUUAAGAACUUUGACCUGGUUAGGUUUCUGAGUGCUCACCAUGGGUUCACGCCGGAGGAGCAGCAGUUUGUGAAGCUGCUCCAUGAUUGCAACCUCCACCCUGGGAGAAUGGUCCAGAUCCUAUCAAUGAUACACAACAAAAUAGGGAAGCUCAGCAGCAUGCCAUAUCUUCCUUCAGAUGUAGUUAACCUAGUGGCAAAAGCUACAAGCAUUGGCAAACACAGCUCUGAAGAACGCAAGGAUGCUCACGUGCAACCCAAUGGAGAGACAAAUGAUGAAGGUUUAUACCCGACAAAUAUUCCACAAAAUGGUAUUGAUUUGCUUGUUAGUAGAAAUGAUUGGCAUGUUGCGUGCACGUGUGUAUGCCAUGCUGCAAACCCGUGCCAUGUGUUGUAUGGUGAGGAAGUUGGCAUUGUUGCUCUAAGAAAGUUCCAAUGGGAGCUAAGGCUGUUAACCGGUUACACCAUGUUUCAAGUUGGCGACAUCACGUACAAGGUUUGCACCAUGCAGGACAUGACGGACUCCGAAGCCGAAGACCCGGACAAGGGAAUAAACUACAUGGUGGCGGCGUACAUAGCAGAAGGGGUGUAUUACUGUCAAUGCUGCAAGUUUGAAAGAGAUGAUAUGAUUUGCUGCAAUAUUCUGAGGGUAAUGGACAUGAAUGGCGUGAAACAGGUGCCACCAAGAUACAUCCUUGAGCGUUGGUCUUGGAACGCAGAUGAAGCACUCUGCCAGCAUGGAUCACAACAAGUACUCGCAGAGCAUGAAGAUGGGCCCAACACAACCAUGGAAGCAGUCAGGCGUGUGGUGAUGACAAGGAGAUUUACAAACACAGUAGAUGAGGCUUGCAAGUAUGAUGUGGUGAGUAGAGCAGUUGAGAGGCACACAAACGCGCUUGAAAGAGAGUUGGAGUCAAUUAAGAGGAGAAUGGAGGAGGAGGCACUGCAUCGAUUCCCAAAGAAAAGCAAGACUGCUCAUAUGUCAGCAGGGCCAUCAACAGACAACUCGGAGGUAGGUUCCGGCGCAUCCAACACGCACGUGCACGUGCGGAACCCUCCAAGGACAGUCACUAAAGGGCGACCAAAGCAAAUAAGGUACAAGUCAGCACUCGAGAUCCAAGCAAAGCACAAGAAGCCUACAAAGAAGACAGCGGCGGAAGCUUGGGCUACUUAG
rnacentral:rRNA from 1 species